AACGAACGCUGGCGGCAGGCUUAACACAUGCAAGUCGAGCGCAUCCUUCGGGGUGAGCGGCAGACGGGUGAGUAACACGUGGGAAUCUACCCAACCCUACGGAAUAGCUCCGGGAAACUGGAAUUAAUACCGUAUACGCCCUUAGGGGGAAAGAUUUAUCGGGGAUGGAUGAGCCCGCGUUGGAUUAGCUAGUUGGUGGGGUAAAGGCCUACCAAGGCGACGAUCCAUAGCUGGUCUGAGAGGAUGAUCAGCCACAUUGGGACUGAGACACGGCCCAAACUCCUACGGGAGGCAGCAGUGGGGAAGAUUGGACAAUGGGCGCAAGCCUGAUCCAGCCAUGCCGCGUGAGUGAUGAAGGCCUUAGGGUUGUAAAGCUCUUUCACCGGAGAAGAUAAUGACGGUAUCCGGAGAAGAAGCCCCGGCUAACUUCGUGCCAGCCGCCGCGGUAACAC
rnacentral:rRNA from 1 species